UACGUAGGGGGCAAGCGUUGUUCGGAUUUACUGGGCGUAAAGGGCGGGUAGGCGGCCACCGCAAGUCAGUUGUGAAAUCUCUGGGCUUAACCCAGAAAGGUCAACUGAUACUGCGGGGCUAGAGUGCAGAAGGGGCAACUGGAAUUCUCGGUGUAGCGGUGAAAUGCGUAGAUAUCGAGAGGAACACCUGCGGCGAAGGCGGGUUGCUGGGCUGACACUGACGCUGAACUGCCGAAAGCUAGGGGAGCGAACGGGA
rnacentral:rRNA from 1 species